AUUGAACGCUGGCGGAAUGCUUUACACAUGCAAGUCGAACGGCAGCACGGGUGCUUGCACCUGGUGGCGAGUGGCGAACGGGUGAGUAAUGCACCGGAACGUAUCCAAUAAUGGGGGGAUAACGCACCGAAAGGUGUGCUAAUACCGCAUACGCCCUGAGGGGGAAAGCGGGGGGAUCGUAAGACCUCGCGUUAAUGGAGCGGCCGAUGCCGGAUUAGCUAGUUGGUGAGGUAAAGGCUCACCAAGGCGACGAUCCGUAGCUGGUCUGAGAGGACGACCAGCCACACUGGAACUGAGACACGGUCCAGACUCCUACGGGAGGCAGCAGUGGGGAAUUUUGGACAAUGGCGCAAGCCUGAUCCAGCCAUUCCGCGUGAGUGAAGAAGGCCUUCGGUUGUAACCGUCUUCUAUACACAGACGAAGCC
rnacentral:rRNA from 1 species